GUGCUGCCAGGCUCCCUUUCCCCGGCUGCCUGAGAAACCUUCCCCCGCCUCUCCGCGCUAUAAACGGGGCGGGCCGGGCCCGCCAGCCCGGCUGCGGCCACGGCCGGCCCGCUCACCCCGCCUCCCUGAGGCGCGGCCUGGCCCGGCCUGCUGUGGCGGCGGCACCGGCACCUCGGCCGGGCGGCUUUCAUGGCUUUCAUCCGCAGGCGGCGGCUGGAGCGGGAGCUGUACUCCAAGGAGAGGUUUUCACUACUUCUUCUUAACCUGGAAGAAUACUAUUUUGAACAGCACACAGCUAAUCAUAUUAUAAAUAAAGGUCACAAAGAUGAAAGAAAAUUCAGAGGCUCUCUAAAAAUCUGUUCAAAGUCAAUUAUUUUUGAACCAGAUGACAACAUCCAACCCAUUAUCAAGAUACCACUGAGAGACUGCAUUAGUAUAAAAGCCCCAGAAGAUAAUGAAGCAAAUAACCCUUUCACACGGGAUACAUCUGGAGGGAUUUCGGUUCUAUGUAGCCAGGUUUUUCUCAUUAAAGAAAGGAAUGUUAUUGCACCCUAUAAAACAAUAAGAGGCAGAACAGAACACUUAUUCCAACUGGAUGUUGCUGGGAAAGUAGGAGAUGUUGUGCAAACUCUACAUCAGCUUUACAGGGCUUCUUGUCUAGAUAAGAUGGGAGAUCAAGCUGCCAUGAUAACUGCUAUAUUGCAGUCGCGCUUGGCUAGAACUUCAUUUGAUAAAAACAGAUUUCAAAGCAUUUCUGAAACGCUGCAUAUGGAAUGUAAAGCAGAAAUGGUGACGCCACUGGUGACUAAUCCAGGGCAUGUGUGCGUUACUGAUGCUAACUUGUACUUCCAGCCUCUUAAUGGAUAUCCUAAACCAGUAGUACAAAUAACACUGCAAAAUGUGCGUCGCAUCUAUAAAAGAAGACAUGGGCUAAUGCCACUGGGCCUCGAAGUAUUUUGCACAGAAAACGAUUUAUGUUCUGACAUCUACUUGAAAUUCUACAACUAUCAAGAUCGAGAUGAGGUCUAUUUCCUUAUUGCAACAUAUAUAGAAAAUCAUAUUGCGGAGCAUACAGCUGAAAGUUAUAUGUUGCAAUGGCAGCGAGGACAUAUAUCAAAUUACCAGUACCUUCUUCAUCUCAACAAUCUGGCUGAUAGAAGCUGCAACGAUCUCUCCCAGUAUCCUGUAUUUCCUUGGAUCAUAGCAGACUACUCUAGUUCAGUAUUAGAUCUGACAAAGCCUGAAACAUUUCGUGACCUUAGUAAGCCAGUUGGUGCCCUGAAUAAGGAAAGGCUGGAUAGGCUACUGACACGUUAUCAGGAAAUGCCAGAGCCUAAGUUCAUGUAUGGAAGCCAUUAUUCAUCUCCGGGUUAUGUUUUGUUUUAUCUCGUUAGAGUUGCUCCAGAAUACAUGCUCUGCCUGCAAAAUGGAAAGUUUGAUCACGCUGACAGAAUGUUCAAUAGUAUUGCAGAAACCUGGAAAAACUGUUUGGAUGGUGCGACAGAUUUCAAAGAGUUGAUUCCGGAAUUUUAUGAAAAUGAUCCUAGUUUUCUAGUAAACAGUUUGAAACUGGACUUAGGAAAAAGGCAGGGUGGAAAGAUAGUUGAAGAUGUAGAGCUUCCACCUUGGGCAUCAGGUCCUGAUGACUUCCUUCAGAAGAGCCAAGAGGCUUUAGAAAGUCAGUAUGUAUCAGAACAUCUUCAUGAAUGGAUUGACAUAAUAUUUGGCUACAAGCAGAAAGGAAGUGAAGCAGUUGCAGCUCACAAUGUGUUUCACCCAUUAACUUAUGAAGGAGGAGUGGAUUUAAACAGUAUUAUGGACCCCAAUGAAAAAGUAGCUCUCCUGACACAAAUCUUGGAGUUUGGACAGACGCCAAAGCAGUUGUUUACAACCCCUCAUCCUCAAAGGAUCGUACCAAGGCUGAAAAGCUUGUCUCGAACAUCGAGUCACAGCAUUUCCUUAGCUGAGUCUCCAGUUUCUCCAAAUGAAGAAUCAUUUGAAGAUUUGACAGAAGAAAGUAUAACACUUGCCUGGAACAAUAUUGCCAAAUUAAAAUUAGAUAAGCAAUAUAAAAUUCACAAAGAGGCAAUUACUGGAAUAGCAGUCCCUUGGAAUGGGUCUUCUGUUUUCACUACAUCCCAAGAUUCAACUUUGAAGAUGUUUUCCAAAGAAUCAAAAACUAUCCAGAGAAGUGUGUCCUUUUCAAACAUGGCUUUGUCGUCUUGUCUAAUCUUACCAGGAGAUACCACUGUCAUAAGUUCUUCAUGGGACAAUCAUAUAUAUUUUUAUUCAGUUGCAUUUGGAAGACAGCAAGACAUCCUAAUGGGACAUGAUGAUGCAGUCAGUAAGAUCUGUUGGCGUGAUGGGCGUUUAUAUUCAGCAUCCUGGGAUUCCACUGUGAAGGUGUGGCACUGUGUUCCUGGAGAGACUUUGAGCAAUAAAAAGCACCACUUUGAACUGCUUGCAGAGUUGGAGCAUGAUGUUAGUGUAAAUACAAUCGACCUUAAUGCUGCAAAUACCAUACUGGCAUCUGGAACCAAAGAUGGUACCAUUAGUGUUUGGGAUGUUACUACAGCAACAGUGUUACACCAGUUGCCAUGUCAUUCUGGGACUGUAUUUGAUGCUGCUUUUAGUCCUGACAGCAGACAUCUACUCAGCACAGGAGAGGACUGUUGUUUUAAAGUAAUAGAUGUACAAACUGGAAUGCUUAUAUCUUCUGUAACCACUGAUGAGCCACAGAGACUUACUUUUGCAGGUGCUUCAAAUGGGAUGGAAACACCAUCUUAUCGGGAGCUCAGUCUGGUGAAUUACUGAUUUGGGACCUUCUUGGAGGAAAAGUUAUUGAAAGAAUCAACGGACAUACAGGUGCUGUAACAGCCAUGUGGAUGAAUGAACAGUGCAACAGUGUUAUUACAGGAGGGGAAGACAAACAAAUCAUGUUCUGGAAACUGCAAUACUAAGUGCCUUUCCCUCCAGCCAUUUAAAGGAACUCUAAUUUUAAACCAAACCUUUUAAAGGAACUUAACUGCGUGCAAUGAUGGUUACUGAAGUUCAACCCGAUAGGAAGCUUUGUUCAACUUUCUAUGUUAUGGUGACUUCACUGAGAGCUCUUAACUUCCAUAGCAUAUGCAUUUGUUUUUCAUGGACUAUCAUACUGAAGUUGCUUGUCUAAAAUGAUAUCUGAUAUUAAAUUAAAGACCUAUUUUUCUGUAAUUAAAGAGCUCUUAACUUGCA